rnacentral:rRNA from 1 species
UACGGGGGGGGGCAAGCGUUGUUCGGAAUUACUGGGCGUAAAGGGCCAGUAGGCGGCCAACUAAGUCGGAUGUGAAAUCCCUCGGCUCAACCGAGGAACUGCGUCCGAUACUGGUGGGCUUGAAUCCGGGAGAGGGAUGUGGAAUUCCAGGUGUAGCGGUGAAAUGCGUAGAUAUCUGGAGGAACACCGGUGGCGAAGGCGGCAUCCUGGACCGGUAUUGACGCUGAGGCGCGAAAGCGUGGGGAGCAAACAGG